rnacentral:tRNA from 3 species
GGGUCAUUAGCUCAACUGGUUAGAGCGCAGUCCUGAUAAGACUGAGGUACUUGGUUCGACCCCAAGAUGACCCACUA